UUCUUUGUUUCUGGGUCUGUGUCGUACAAAAGAGGCAGAACCAAUGAGAUGCGCAAGUGAGAGUGAAAAUCAAUGGCAGAAUCUAACACCAGCUGGAUUCGGGAAGGAGUUUCGCAUCUUGAGCUGCAAAUUCACUUGGAAAAUGGAUUGGAUCAAUAAGGACAAAAAUCUGCUUUGAGUUCAAGUAGAAUAUGCGCCGGCCACGAUGUAACCCAGGAAAUUCAGGUUUGAAGUCUAAAUUUGUGCAUCAGGUGGACGACGGUGUUGAUAGUGACCCUUGCCGGCAACUUUGAUAUUAGAACAGAAUUGCCUCUGAAUCCCCAGUGCCUCCCCUCACUCCGAAUCCUGUCUACGUCCAUGAUUGAUAGUGACCCUGGCCAGCGCCUUUAAUAUUUGUAUCAGAGGUUGAUAUGUUAACCAGCUGUGCUUGCUUGUUUUGUUUUCAUCUGUAGGUUGUUUAAUCACAGCGGCGAUCAUUGUGAUGAUAUAACUUAACUUAGAGGGUCUCAACUCUCAAGCUUAUCAGAAGGAGACAAGAAGACGAGACUGAGUAGUGAAGGUGAAAUAAUGAUUAGAGGGGAAAUGUAUUCAUGGCCAUACAAGAAGACAAUCACUUAGCUAGUGUCAACAAGGUUUUUGAUACAAUGAUAAUGGACUUUAGUUGUUAAGAAGCUUUGCUUAGCUUUUCUUUGUAUUUACAGGAUUACUUGUUUAGCGUGCAUGAGAUAUAUUGUCUGUUGUAAGUGAAGCUUUUAAGAUUCAGGAGAUCAAGAAUAAGACAGUGUCUAUAAA